rnacentral:lncRNA from 13 species
AUGUGUGGUUUUAUCACAGGACUUGUUCUAUGGAAUGUUGUUGAUUCAUUAGACCAUUGCAGUUAUGUCAUCAAGGGGGGGACACAACGUGAGCAUAAUUCACACCAUUACAGCUUUAUCUCAGACACUGCAUUGAGUAGUCCAGACAUGUCUGUUUGUUUACGGCACCUGAAAAACAUUCAUUCAUUUGUGUGUGAGGGGGGAUUCACUCAUGAACACAUGGGCCUUUGCACUUGUUCUGUGGGAAUGAAUAAAUCAAAUCCCAACAGUUUACCUCUCAAUAUUCCUUUAUUAGGCACUAGAGCACUCAAUCCUAGUUAUGAAACUCUAAAAUGUUGCUAUCAUGGAUACUGCUUUUAAAUAGAAUAUUAAAUAAAUCAGGUUUACAUGUAUUUUAUAUUUACUGGUCUGAUUACCCUUUUCUGCACUAUGUGCCUAUUUUAAUAAACACUUGUCGUAUUUCGCUGUCUCAUCUCUUAUGCCAUCCACAGUAGGCUAACGCGACAGAAUUGUGGGCCUGGGACAGAAUUCCUGUCUUGUUUUUACUGACGGUGCAAACUAGGCUAUUGGUUUAAAGAAAAUCUCAGAGAUCUCAAAUUGUGGGAAGGAUACUGUAGUUUGCUGGCCUAAGUGAUUAGUAUCAAGUUCUGAAUAAUCUCUCUGAUUACCCAUUACUUUGAACAGUUCUCCUCCUCCUCACCUUUUUCCUUCGCUUGUGUACUUCAGUGCACAACACAACAGCUGUCUGUGACCAGGCGAAAAAACUUUUCCAAGCUAAAACUUCAUACCAUAACUGCUAACCGCUACACACAGGCUACAUCGUUGUCACCAUAAUUAGCUAACAUCAUUGUCAACAUAGCUACUAAAAACGAAUGCGUUAGUAAACCCGCUACAAUCAUGCAGUACAGUGUACAGCGAGCAGUUUGGCACUUACACCGGAGGGCCCCGGUGGCAAUAAAUUAAUACAACUAAAAGCUUACCUUGACUUGGAAGAGUUCCUGUGUUGGAUAGCCUUAGCCAGCUAGCUAUCAUAUAAUCCCUCUCUGUUUGAGUAGGCUAAACUAGCUAGCUGCAUUCACUAGCUUAGUAAGUGAAAGUGAAAAAUACAACAAAAUAUAGCUAGCUAGCUCUCUCACUCUCGCUUUCGUCUCCUUUAUUUUUGAAGAAAUUAAUUUGAGUGAACUACUCACUACAUUUUAUGCAUUUGCUAGCUAGCUGUAGCUUAUACUUUCAGUACUAGAUUGAUUCUCUGAUCCUGUGAUUG